AAGGAACGCCUUAAUGCAAAGUUUAAUUAUUGGUGAAGAUUACUGUUACUAUGAUUAAAAACUCACCUAGUGAAAGCUGUGUUCUUCUGUGACCUGGAUUUAAAUGUAUCUUGGCACUCUAGAGCUUAAUGAUGACUGGUUUUUUUUGAUUGCUUGAAGCAAUGUGAAAAACACAUUUCACCGGCUCUGAAAGCUCUUGAGUUGCCAUUUGAAAGAAAUCUUAGAAUACCUUACAGUUACUUAAAAUUAGAUUUUUAAAGGAAAGGGAAAUGCUAGUAUAUAACAUUGGUCUCUUUAAUAGGGAAUGGGUACUGUUCAAAAAGGAAUGCCCCACAAGUGUUACCAUGGCAAAACUGGAAGAGUCUACAAUGUUACCCAGCAUGCUGUUGGCAUUGUUGUAAACAAACAAGUUAAGGGCAAGAUUCUUGCCAAGAGAAUUAAUGUGCGUAUUGAGCACAUCAAGCACUCUAAGAGCCGAGAUAGCUUCCUGAAACGCGUGAAGGAAAAUGAUCAGAAAAAGAAAGAAGCCAAAGAGAAAGGUACCUGGGUUCAACUAAAGCGCCAGCCUGCUCCACCCAGAGAAGCACACUUUGUGAGAACCAAUGGGAAGGAGCCUGAGCUGCUGGAACCUAUUCCCUAUGAAUUCAUGGCAUAAUAGGUGUUAAAAAAAAAAUAAA
rnacentral:sRNA from 1 species